rnacentral:misc_RNA from 1 species
GAUGAAGAACGUAGCGAAAUGCGAUAAGUAAUGUGAAUUGCAGAAUUCAGUGAAUCAUCGAAUCUUUGAACGCACAUUGCGCCCCCUGGUAUUCCGGGGGGCAUGCCUGUUCGAGCGUCAUUUCAACCCUCAAGCUCUGCUUGGUAUUGAGUCCAUGUCAGCAAUGGCAGGCUCCAAAAUCAGUGGCGGCGCCGCUGGGUCCUGAUCGUAGUAAUAUCUCUCGUUACAGGUGCUCGGCGUGCUUCUGCCAAAACCCCAAUUUUUCUAUGGUUGACCUCGGAUCAGGUAGGGAUACCCGCUGAACUUAAGCAUAUCAAUAAGCGGAGGA